UGUGUGACAGAGGUUCCUAGCAGAACACUUGAAAAGGUAAGCUAAUCAAAAUGAAGACACUGUUAGUUCUCGUCUUCAAGACAGCCUUCUUAAAGAUAGUUCACAAUUACAAGACUCAACCAUUGUCGACAAUUUUAUUGUAUGUAUAUUAUCAAAAUCUUUCUCAAGGUAGCCCUAAAAAAUUAUACAGCAGAGAUGAGUCCUCCUUUUUUUUAUUAUUAUAGGUCAAAGUCAUUGGACAAAGGAUAUUUUCUAUUUUAUGCAGGGCCAGGCUUGGACUAUUAUGAAUGUUGCUGAACACUGUUAAUCAAGCUUACACAGCUAUUUUGAUGGCAAACAAUUAGAACUCUGCAGCUCUACCUUGCAAUUAGCUUCAGGGAUAUGGACCUCAGCACCAUAAUAAUGAAAGAGACCUCCUUCAAGCACGACUUCCAAGCAUUGCUGUUACCAAAUUUCAUCAGCCAACUAUCUGCUGUGGCCUGUCAAACAGAAUCCACGUGCAUGAUCUGGAUUUUGAUUCGGGGAGCGCUUGCAAAAGAAUUAGUAGCAAAACAGGAUCCUGAAAGUUUCAAUACUUCAGAUGACCUUGGAUUUGAACUACAUCUGACUUUUCCAAUUAGCUGUUGCUAAAUAUUCUCAGAAAGGGCUCACCACAUUUGUUGAUUUUUUUUUUUCCUGCCAAGAAUGGCUACAAUGCAGAAAAUUAGAAGAUGUAGGUGUUUAGGCCACUCACCAGUCAUGAGGAUGUGGACAUUUUUUACAGAAGUUCACUUUUCUUGAUCUGAAAGUGGAGACAAUCAUAUUUUUCCUACUCACAAAAGCCAACUUCCAGGAUGUUACGUUGAUAUAAUACAUGCAAAUAUACAAAAAAUAAUCUAUAAUUUGUAUUAAAAAUAUGCAAGAAAAAUAUACUUCAUAAAUAAGGAAGGUCAUUAUCAAUUCAAAACAGAAUAUUCCACUGAAAAUAAUAGAUUUUUUUUUCUGCUCCUCAACCACUCCUCUGAUUAUUUUUUCUUACUUUCCCUGGCAUCACUCUACUCUCCCCCCAAAAAAAAGAAAAAAGGAAGAAAGAAAAAAAUAAGAAAGAAAAACAAAAAGAAAGAAGAAAGAACAAAAGAAAGAAAAGAAAAAAAAUGCUUUCCUUAUAUGUUUUUGUUUUGUUUUUAGAUUUUAUUUAUUUAGUUGAGAAAGAGAGAGAGAGAGCACAUGAGUAGGGGAAGGGGCAGAGAGAGAAGCAGAGUCCCCACUGAGCAGGGAGCCAGACUCUGGCUUGAUCCCAGGUUCCUGAGAUCAUGGCCUGAGCCAAAGGAAGCCAUUAAAUGACUGUCACACAGGUGUUCUUGCUUCAUUUGUCUGAAUAAAUUUGUGAUGUAACUGCUUGUUAAGAUGAUA
rnacentral:lncRNA from 1 species